rnacentral:tRNA from 1 species
UGGCUCAGUUGGUUAGAGCAUGGUGUUUGCAACGCCAGGGUUGUGGGUUCGAUUCCCAU